rnacentral:rRNA from 1 species
UAUCACUUAAAGCGAUUCAGCGGGUUACGAUUGACGGAGCGAAGCGACGUCAAAGCGUAUACAAAGUCGAGUCGGUUUAAGGAUACGUUCGUUGGGUAGGGGAGCGUUCUGUAAGCCUGUGAAGGUGUGUCGUGAGGCAUGCUGGAGGUAUCAGAAGUGCGAAUGCUGACAUAAGUAACGAUAAAGCGGGUGAAAAGCCCGCUCGCCGGAAGACCAAGGGUUCCUGUCCAACGUUAAUCGGGGCAGGGUGAGUCGACCCCUAAGGC